rnacentral:rRNA from 1 species
GACGAACGCUGGCGGCGUGCUUAACACAUGCAAGUCGAACGGAAAGGCCCUGCUUUUGUGGGGUGCUCGAGUGGCGAACGGGUGAGUAACACGUGAGUAACCUGCCCUUGACUUUGGGAUAACUUCAGGAAACUGGGGCUAAUACCGGAUAGGAGCUCCUGCUGCAUGGUGGGGGUUGGAAAGUUUCGGCGGUUGGGGAUGGACUCGCGGCUUAUCAGCUUGUUGGUGGGGUAGUGGCUUACCAAGGCUUUGACGGGUAGCCGGCCUGAGAGGGUGACCGGCAACAUUGGGACUGAGAUACGGCCCAGACUCCUACGGGAGGCAGCAGUGGGGAAUAGUGCACAAUGGGCGGAAGCCUGAUGCAGCAACGCCGCGUGCGGGAUGACGGCCUUCGGGUUGUAAACCGCUUUCGCCUGUGACGAAGCGUGAGUGACGGUAAUGGGUAAAGAAGCACCGGCUAACUACGUG